rnacentral:rRNA from 1 species
GAUGAACGCUGGCGGCGUGCCUAAUACAUGCAAGUCGAGCGAACAGACGAGGAGCUUGCUCCUCUGACGUUAGCGGCGGACGGGUGAGUAACACGUGGAUAACCUACCUAUAAGACUGGGAUAACUUCGGGAAACCGGAGCUAAUACCGGAUAAUAUAUUGAACCGCAUGGUUCAAUAGUGAAAGACGGUUUUGCUGUCACUUAUAGAUGGAUCCGCGCCGCAUUAGCUAGUUGGUAAGGUAACGGCUUACCAAGGCAACGAUGCGUAGCCGACCUGAGAGGCUGAUCGGCCACACGGGAACUGAGACACGGUCCAGACUCCUACGGGAGGCAGCAGUAGGGAAUCUUCCGCAAUGGGCGAAAGCCUGACGGAGCAACGCCGCGUGAGUGAUGAAGGUCUUCGGAUCGUAAAACUCUGUUAUUAGGGAAGAACAAAUGUGUAAGUAACUAUGCACGUCUUGACGGUACCUAAUCAGAAAGCCACGGCUAACUACGUG